CCUACGGGUUGCAGCAGUGGGGAAUAUUGCACAAUGGGCGCAAGCCUGAUGCAGCCAUGCCGCGUGUAUGAAGAAGGCCUUCGGGUUGUAAAGUACUUUCAGCGGGGAGGAAGGCGAUAAGGUUAAUAACCUUGUCGAUUGACGUUACCCACAGAAGAAGCACCGGCUAACUCCGUGCCAGCAGCCGCGGUAAUACGGAGGGUGCAGGCGUUAAUCGGAAUUACUGGGCGUAAAGCGCGCGCAGGCGGUCUGUCAAGUCGGAUGUGAAAUCCCCGGGCUCAACCUGGGAACUGCAUUCGAAACUGGCAGGCUAGAGUCUUGUAGAGGGGGGUAGAAUUCCAGGUGUAGCGGUGAAAUGCGUAGAGAUCUGGAGAAAUACCGGUGGCGAAGGCGCCCCCCUGGACAAAGACUAACGCUCAGGUGCGAAAGCGUGGGGAGCAAACAGGAUUAGAUACCCUCGUAGUC
rnacentral:rRNA from 1 species